GUUUCUUUCCCUUUUCUCUGUAGUUAAGAAGGUCCAUUUAGUUGGGGGCUGAACAAUGGUGGUUAAUAUGUUCUUUAUCCUGUAGUCUCCCGUAACUGCUUGUGCCUAUGCAUUCAAAUUGUGGCUGUCUAUGCAUUGAAUCAAUUGCUAAACAGUUAGUGCUGUUGUAAUUAAAAUAAUAAUUUGUCCAUGUGCUUAGAUUAACAUGGGUACAUGCUCAUGCUUUUCAACCUCGAGCAUUCUU
rnacentral:misc_RNA from 1 species